rnacentral:rRNA from 1 species
GGCUACCAUGCAGUCGAGGGGCAGCAUUUUAGUUUGCUUGCAAACUAAAGAUGGCGACCGGCGCACGGGUGAGUAACACGUAUCCAACCUGCCGAUAACUCGGGGAUAGCCUUUCGAAAGAAAGAUUAAUAUCCGAUAGUAUAUUAAAACCGCAUGGUUUUACUAUUAAAGAAUUUCGGUUAUCGAUGGGGAUGCGUUCCAUUAGUUUGUUGGCGGGGUAACGGCCCACCAAGACUACGAUGGAUAGGGGUUCUGAGAGGAAGGUCCCCCACAUUGGAACUGAGACACGGUCCAAACUCNUACGGGAGGCAGCAGUGAGGAAUAUUGGUCAAUGGACGAGAGUCUGAACCAGCCAAGUAGCGUGAAGGAUGACUGCCCCUAUGGGUUGUAAACUUCUUUUAUAUGGGAAUAAAGUAUUCCCACGUGUGGGAUUUUGUAUGUACCAUAUGAAUAAGGAUCGGCUAACUCCGUGCCAGCAGCCGCGGUAAUACGGAGGAUCCGAGCGUUAUCCGGAUUUAUUUGGGUUUAAAGGGAGCGUAGGUGGAUUGUUAAGUCAGUUGUGAAAGUUUGCGGCUCAACCGUAAAAUUGCAGUUGAAACUGGCAGUCUUGAGUACAGUAGAGGUGGGCGGAAUUCGUGGUGUAGCGGUGAAAUGCUUAGAUAUCACGAAGAACUCCGAUUGCGAAGGCAGCUCACUAGACUGCAACUGACACUGAUGCUCGAAAGUGUGGGUAUCAAACAGGAUUAGAUACCCUGGUAGUCCACACAGUAAACGAUGAAUACUCGCUGUUUGCGAUAUACAGUAAGCGGCCAAGCGAAAGCAUUAAGUAUUCCACCUGGGGAGUACGCCGGCAACGGUGAAACUCAAAGGAAUUGACGGGGGCCCGCACAAGCGGAGGAACAUGUGGUUUAAUUCGAUGAUACGCGAGGAACCUUACCCGGGCUUAAAUUGCAUUUGAAUAAUCUGGAAACAGGUUAGCCGCAAGGCAAAUGUGAAGGUGCUGCAUGGUUGUCGUCAGCUCGUGCCGUGAGGUGUCGGCUUAAGUGCCAUAACGAGCGCAACCCUUAUCUUUAGUUACUAACAGGUCAUGCUGAGGACUCUAGAGAGACUGCCGUCGUAAGAUGUGAGGAAGGUGGGGAUGACGUCAAAUCAGCACGGCCCUUACGUCCGGGGCUACACACGUGUUACAAUGGGGGGUACAGAAGGCAGCUACCUGGCGACAGGAUGCUAAUCCCAAAAACCUCUCUCAGUUCGGAUCGAAGUCUGCAACCCGACUUCGUGAAGCUGGAUUCGCUAGUAAUCGCGCAUCAGCCAUGGCGCGGUGAAUACGUUCCCGGGCCUUGUACACACCGCCCGUCAAGCCAUGAAAGCCGGGGGUACCUGAAGUACGAACCGCAAGGAGCUCCUAGG